ensembl:lncRNA
UACAUCUGGAACAGAGCAAAGAUCUGAACGAGCCCACGUGGAAAGCCCAAGGACGAGCUUUGCAUGCCUAGGGAAAUGCAAGUGCAAUCUGAGUGUUGUGGCUGUGUCUGGGGUCCACAGGAGGGUGGUCAGUGGUACACAGGAGAGGAGGACUGCAGGAGAGGCCUCAUGGAGAAGGAUCUUCCAGCUGUCCGAUAGGGCUCUGGAUAGGAUGAUUAUAAGGACCGAUGGAAAAAUAGUAACUUGUAUUACAGUAGUCAACAAAUGUGUGCUGUCAUCUCUAAAAGUAGAGCCAAUGUUGCCUAACAGAGAAGUGGGACAGAAUCUAAGAAGGCUUACCAGUGAUGCCCGGGCCUCUUGCUUCCUUGGCAGCUACAUGACAUCUACUGACUCUGCCUACUACCUUCCCUGUUUGGAUUUCCUGCCUGGCUAAAUCCUGCCUGCCCAUUGGUCAAAACAGCUUUAUUCGUCAAUCAAUAAGAGAAACUUAUAUUCACAGUAUACAGAAGGACAUGCCCCAUCAGUGUGCCUAUCACAACUCCUCCAUUCUCAGGGUGGAAGAUUUCCCAAACCAGAAAAUCCCCUGUCUUCAUGUCCAACCUUCACUUUCAUUUUAUAAGUAAAGCCAGGAUGAGUUAUUUCUGGAAUCCUUGCACUGCUCAGUCAUUUAACAAUGUCCCACUCCUUCCUUACCUCCCACUAAGCAGAGAAAGAGACCUUCACAUCUUACAUGUCUAUACUUAGAAACAGCCUUUGCCUUAGCACCUGUUGCUUGUUACCAAUUGGGAAGACACUGUCAUCUGGGGUCUCUGAUUCCCUGCCAUUCAUAGUUUUGAUCGAAGAAAAUUCAAAAGGAUCAUAUUUGAUCAAAAUAAAAUAAAAAUAAUUGCAAUCCCCUUCCUGAGAAUUAACUUUUUUGAGAUCACAAGGUGCCAUGCACACUUCCAAAGGAGGGAAACAGCCAAGGGUCAUGAUACCUAUGAACCACAACGAUAACCAGCAUGACAUAAUAAUCC